GGUUUCAAUAUCCACAGAUGUGAAAAAUAUAUAGACAAAACGUUUUACAUCUAGCCACAAUAUCCCCAGAUGCAAAGCUAAACGCGGUGGCAAUCCUGUAAUUAUGGUAAAAAUUGUCUAAAAUAAUUUCACAUAUGACCAUAAUAUCCCCGGAUGUAAAAAGACUUCAAGUGAUUAAUAAUUGGUCUCAUAGUAACAGCUCUCUCACGAUCUCCUUCAUCUCUCACUGCUCACUCGAACCCUAGCGACCGGCCUCAUCUCUCACGAUCGAUCUCAUCUUCUCUCUCAGAUCUCACUCGAACUCGGCGGCCUCAUCUCUCUCACGAUCGAUCUCGUCUUCUCUCUCACUGAUCUCACGUACUCGCUCAUCUAUGUCGUCUCUCUGUCUCACUGAAACAUGAAUUGAAGGCUGAAACGGAAAUUCCAAAACCCAGUUAAACACAAAUUGAAGGCUGAAACACAUCUCUGUCAUCUCUAGCUGAAACCCAGAGAAAAGGUUUAAUUGGUAGUGCAUUUGCAUCGAAGGGUUGAUUUGGUUAGGUCAAGAUGUUCACUGAAGGAGUUGACAAAAACCCAUUUAGAUGGGUCAGAGAUAAGGAAGUGUCAUUCAUCGAGAGAAACACUUACUGGAAGACAAGGAAUGACGAGGGAUCCGGUGAUGAGGAGUGCUGCUAAUGGAAUGCAAGGUCACGGGGUGUGUUUCACUUGCUGUGUUGAUUUGAGGUAGGUGAUGAGGAGUGCUGCUAAUGGAAUGCAGAAUGAUUUCACUGAGGAUGAAUUGUCAGAUCAGAUUCUGCGGCCAACUCAGAAUUUUCUACCACACAAGUAGGAAGUAGUAUCAAUGGUUCUCUUCCAAAAAGUAAGGCUUAUAUGUUACCAGGGGAUGCUUCUAUGUGCAAAGUUCUGCAGAAAAGGUGUUCAAUGAUCCCAUGUCAUUAACAGAGGAGGAGCUGUAUGAAUUACGAAACAGCUAGGCAACUUGUUUUCUUGACCUAUACAAUCCCGAGGUAGAUUAUGAUGUUGCCGAUGAUGAGGCUUAGGAGCUAGCUAGGUUAAUUUGUGUGAUGGAUUCAUAUUAAUUAUGAUGUUUUGAAUUGUAAUGACUUGUAUUUUGCUUGAAUGUUAUAACAUUUUGGAUGAAUGAGUUGGUAUUUUGCUUGAAUUGUAA